UUUGACCUAGUAAUGAUUCUAUACUUGUGCGCAAAAUGCCGGUAGUACACAAGCUAACGUAAAGUUAUUGUGAACAUAGUAAGGAUCAUUGGACAUAUUUAUAUCAUCUGUCACAGAUGUUCGCCAACCUUACCGUGGAUUUGACGAUUUUGGCAUGUUCUUGUGGAAGUUUCUCACGGAGAUGAUAUGCAAUGUUGGACGUGUUUGCCGCUUUGCAAGGCACUUUUCUCUUGCAGCGUUUGCAAGUCGGCAUUCCAUCUACAAGAACUUUGCCGUCUUCAUCCUUUAGAUAGCCGGAAAAUUCCCACACUGCCGACCUGGUCCGUUUUGGUGGCCUAAAUAGCGGAGAUGCGUCCUCUCCUUCUGCAAUUUCUUGUUUGCCUGGAUUCAUAAUUACUGACCCGUGAUGAACCACUUUCUGCUCCAACAGAUUUGACAUGUUGAACCUCGAAGACGGCUUGAGACUUCGACUGGAGACCUUCUACAACCUGACCAUUCACGUCCACACGGGAACGCUCUGAAACUAAUCCGACGGCCCUGGACGUGAGUAUGAACAAAACCACUAAAAGCAAACAGAUGGAUAUCCAUGUGAGGUACUGGACCAAGGACGACACAGACAGCCAUGUCAUAUUGUGGUACUAUGGAUCACAGUUCAUGCUGGAUCAUU